CCUAGCAUUCCUUAUCAACCUUAUAUAAACGACUGCAGCCUCUCUCCUCCGCCCUCCUUUCUUCCAAGUUCUAUACCAUCACCCCCAUCGUUCCCUUUGCUGUCUGCUAGUUGGAAGUGCCAGACUUAUUGAAAAGUUAUGUAUUCCAAACCCCUUCAAUCUCUCAAUGUUUAUUCUGGAGGAAACGUCUUUAUGGUGCUAAAAGCAUUAAAAAGAACUCAUCUUGUUUGGUCUCUGCUUGUAUUCCAAAAGUGCAUAAAGUGCAUAAAGAUCCUUCCCUAGCAUCAUCAGAGGUACAGAGGCACCAGAUUAUCAAAAUGCAUCAGAUUAGCAGAUUCUCAUACUGCUGACUUGUUAGCAAACGUGCACCAGAACAGGAGUUACAGGGGCACCAAAGCAAGACAGCACAGGUACACAAAAAAACACCAAACGAACAGAAUAACAGUAGACACAGGCACCAAAGUAGCAGCAGCUCAGACAAUCAUUAUCAAUGUGUUUUUUUAAUUGGUUUUUGAUGUGAUUAAACAUGUUUUAAAGGGUUUUUGAUAUUUUAGAGACUUUUCACGUGAGUUUGCUUAUUUAAAAUGUUUGUGUUUUGUUAUUGACAUAUUAUUACAA